GGAGUUACAGCUCAGUGGUAGAGAGGGUGCUUAGCGUACAAGAGGUCCUGGGUUCAAUCCCCAGUACUUCCA
rnacentral:tRNA from 1 species